rnacentral:rRNA from 1 species
AAUGAACGUUGGCGGCGUGGAUUAGGCAUGCAAGUCGCGCGACAAGGAACCUUCGGGUUCUGGAGGAGCGGCAAACGGGGUAGUAAGGCAUCGGAACGUACCCUCUUGUUGGGAAUAGCCGCGGGAAACUGCGAGUAAUGCCCAAUAAUCCCUACGGGGCAAAGGUCCGCCGCAGGAGGAGCGGCCGAUGUGAUACCAGCUAGUUGGUGAGGUAAUGGCUCACCAAGGCUUAGACGUCUAGGGGGUGUGAGAGCAUGGCCCCCCACCACUGGGACUGAGAUACUGCCCAGACACCUACGGGUGGCUGCAGUCGAGAAUCUUCGGCGAAUAGGGCGG